AAACUCCUGCGGAGUCAUCUUCUGUCCAGGGUCACACCGCUAGCAAGUCAGCAGUGGGAUUUGGAUUUGUCCUCAAAGCCUGGCCCAUUCACUAUAUGACCACUAUUAUGGUUGAUAGUGCUUCCCUUCCGACUCCUCAGCAGGUGCCCCCAGGAGGACAGCCCAACAUGCUGGUGCCGCCCAAAUUUGUGUCUCCUGCCCCAACCCCUGUCCGGACAUCAUUAGGUCAGCCCCUCCCUGGAUGACUGCACUGGCCACCCUGCAGGUACCUCAGAGCUUUGUGCGUCAUCAGGGGACGCAGUCUCUUCUGCCUCCCAGGCUACAUCAAGAAGGUGGCCACCUACAAGUCAGACAGUGGAUCUACAAGCACUUUGAUAUUGGACUUCCCAACCUCCAGAAAUGGGAGAAAUGAGUGUUUGUUUAAACCACCCGAUCUAUGGUAUCUUGUGGCAGCGGCCUGAACUAAGACGGUAACUAAAGGAGCGUGGCAAGAACAGUGUUACUUAAAGUGUAGACUUUACUGCAAAUCUGAAAUGGAAAUAAAGUCAAGGCUCUGUCUUUAUUUACAAUAAA